CAGAAGCAGAAGGUAUAACCACCACAGAGCAAAGGAAAACAGGUGGCGAGAGCCCUCAACAGACAGGCUAGAACCAGGAGUUCCACAGAGAUUGAAGAGACAGGACAAAGCAGAAGGACUCAUAAUGCACCUGCUGGGCUUCCAGAUACAAGACCACAAGCCCAAAUUUCAGCCUGCCAACUUCUGCAAGAAAGGAGAAAGGAAGUUGUGAUUAUCUCUAAUCAUCUGUACUUAUAAUAGCCAGAUGGCCAUAAUUCAGCAAAAAAACAACAGCUCUCUCUCUUUUCCGUCAUUCUUUGAGAAACUGUGAGCUAGAUAGAGACAUAAGCUUGACUCAUGGCUACCUCACUCCAGCCUCUGCAUCUCUUCCAACCAGCUGGCCUCAUGCUUACAAGGACCCUCGUGAUUACAUUGUGCACAUCCAGACAAUCCGGGAUAAUCUCUUUGUCUCAAAGUCAUUGACUUCGUCACAUCUGCAAAUUCUCUUCCCCAUAUAAAAUGCCCCUCCAGGAAAGGUUGGAGUCCAUGGCAAUUCCAAACUUCCCCCUUCCUCAUUGAAUGCAGAUUGAAUAAUAAACUGAGCAAAGUUAAACCAGA